UUACGGCCACAUCACUUUGGAACACCGGUUCCCGUACGAUCACCAAAGUUAAGCAACGAUAGAGCUUGGUCAGUACCUAGAUGGGUGACCGCUUGGGAAUACUAGGUGCUGUAA